AGAAUCAACGCUGGCGGCGUGCCUAACACAUGCAAGUCGAACGCGAAAGCCCCGCAAGGGGUGAGUAGAGUGGCAAACGGGUGAGUAACACGUGGGUGACCUGCCUCAGAGUGGGGGAUAACGACCCUAAAGGGUCGCUAAUACCGCAUAACAUCCUGCGCUUGGAUGCGUGGAGAUCAAAGCCGGGGAUUCGCAAGAACCUGGCGCUUGGAGAGGGGCCCGCGGCCGAUUAGCUAGUUGGUGAGGUAACGGCUCACCAAGGCGACGAUCGGUA
rnacentral:rRNA from 1 species